rnacentral:rRNA from 1 species
GAUGAACGCUGGCGGCGUGCCUAAUACAUGCAAGUCGAGCGAACAGACGCUGAGCUUUUUCCUCUGACGUUAGCGGCUGACGGGUGAGUAACACGUGGAUAACUUACCUAUCUGACUGUGAUAGCUUCGAGACACCGGAGCUAAUACCUGCUACUAUAUUGAUCCGCAUGGUUCAAUAUGUGAAGACGGUUUUGCUGUCCCUUCUAUAUGGAUCCGCGCCGCAUUAGCUAGUUGGUAUGGUAACGGCUUACCAAGGCAACGAUGCGUAGCCGACCUGAGAGGGUGAUCGGCCACACUGGAACUGAGACACGGUCCAAACUCCUACGGGAGGCAGCAGUAGGGAAUCUUCCGCAAUGGGCGAAAGUUUGACGGAGCAACGCCGCGUGAGUGAUGAAGGUCUUCGGAUCGUAAAACUCUGUUAUUAGGGAAGAACAGAGGAGAGAGUAACUAUGAACGGCUUGACGGUACCUAAUCAGAAAGCCACGGCUAACUACGUG